GAGCUCUGCUGGUUGCUGGGAUGAUUUGCUGUAGGGCAAGACCUUCAGGUACUUCAUGGGAGGAGAGGCUCCAGGAGGAGAGCCUGUGCCCCGCUGCGGUGCCUUGCAGCUCCUGUGUGAGGAUGAACCAGAAGGGAAGAUCCCAGACUGGCUCUUCAGGAUCUGGUUCCUGGGCUGUCCCUUCAUCUUCUGUCAUGCUGAGGAGCAGUACAGAAGUCUGAGGACUGGACCUGAUCAGCAAGAGCAGGAGUCCUAUGGAAUGGCUCCCAUCAGUGUGCAGGGAGGAUGCUCUGGACCAGCAACAGCCAACAGAACCCCUGAGUGUUCAUCCUCCAGAAGUCAACGCAGCUCCUGCCUCCUUCAACACUACAGCGAGUCCACGCCAUCUCAACCUCGGAGACCCAGGGCCAUUUAGGAUGCCCCAGCAGUCUGCUCCAGCCCCAAACCUGUCGCCCUGCAUUUAAACAACCC
ensembl:lncRNA